rnacentral:rRNA from 1 species
GACGAACGCUGGCGGCGUGCCUAAUACAUGCCAGUCGAGCGAAGUUUUUCUGGUGCUUGCACCGGAAAAACUUAGCGGCGAACGGGUGAGUAACACGUAAAGAACCUGCCUCAUAGACUGGGACAACUAUUGGAAACGAUAGCUAAUACCGGAUAACAGCAUUAACUGCAUGGUUGAUGUUUAAAAGUUGGUUUUGCUAACACUAUGAGAUGGCUUUGCGGUGCAUUAGCUAGUUGGUGGGGUAAAGGCCUACCAAGGCGACGAUGCAUAGCCGACCUGAGAGGGUGAUCGGCCACACUGGGACUGAGACACGGCCCAGACUCCUACGGGAGGCAGCAGUAGGGAAUCUUCCGCAAUGGGCGAAAGCCUGACGGAACAACGCCGCGUGAGUGAAGAAGGAUUUCGGUUCGUAAAGCUCUGUUGUUAGGGAAGAAUGAUUGUGUAGUAACGAUACACAGUAGAGACGGUACCUAACCAGAAAGCCACGGCUAACUACGUG